rnacentral:rRNA from 1 species
CGCCCCUUGCAAAAAGAUUGAUGAAUAAGGGGUCCUGCCUGCCCAGUGACGUAGUUAAACGGCCGCGGUAUUUUGACCGUGCAAAGGUAGCAUAAUCAUUUGCCUCUUAAAUAGAGGCUGGUAUGAAUGGCAAGACUGGGGUUAAGCUGUCUCUUUCUUAUUACUUGAAUUUUAUAUUUUUGUGAAGAAGCGGAAAUAAAUUCGUAGGACGAGAAGACCCUAUCGAGCUUUAAUAAAUCUAUUAGUGGCGAGUUAAUAUAAAUUAUCUAAUAAAAAAAUUUGAUAGUUUUAAAAAUUUAAUAAUAAAUAUUUUGUCAUUUAAUAAAAUAGUUUUGAUUGGGGCAAUCGCGGAGUAUAAAAAGCCUCCGCUGUAAAUGUUAAAAAUUACUGUUUUUAAAUAAAAUGAUCCGCUGUAAAGCGAACAAAGGAAUAAGUUACCGUAGGGAUAACAGCGUAAUUUUUUUGGAGAGUUCAUAUUGAUAAAAAAGUUUGCGACCUCGAUGUUGGAUCAAGAUUUCCUAGAGAUGCAGAAGUUUCUGAGGGUUGGUCUGUUCGACCAUUAAAAUCUU